rnacentral:rRNA from 1 species
UACAGAGGUCUCGAGCGUUGUUCGGAUUCAUUGGGCGUAAAGGGCGCGUAGGCGGCGGGGUAAGUCUGGUGUGAAAUCUCGGAGCUCAACUCCGAAAUUGCACUGGAUACUGCUCUGCUAGAGGGCUGGAGAGGAGAUCGGAAUUUCCGGUGUAGCGGUGAAAUGCGUAGAUAUCGGAAGGAACAUCAGUGGCGAAAGCGGCUUCCUGGACCAGCACCGACGUUCAGGCACGAAAGCGUGGGGAGCAAACAGG